rnacentral:rRNA from 1 species
UACGUAGGUGGCAAGCGUUGUUCGGAAUUAUUGGGCGUAAAGGGCGCGUAGGCGGUCGGUUAAGUCAGUUGUGAAAGCCCGGGGCUCAACCCCGGAGAGUCGACUGAUACUGGAUUGACUAGAGUACGGAAGAGGUAGCUGGAAUUCCCGGUGUAGCGGUGAAAUGCGCAGAUAUCAGGAAGAACACCCGUGGCGAAGGCGGCUCUCUGGUACGUGACUGACGCUGAGACGCGAAAGCGUGGGGAGCAAACAGG